UCCAAAUUUCCCGAUGGACAUGUGACCUUACACUAUAGAGGUCACUCUCGCUCGUCACUCUCGCUGCCAUCGAAGUUGUCGGUCGUAGUCUCGCAGAAGAUCAUGACGGCGCCAAGGAAGAUGUGGGAGACUGCCAAGGAAGCCAUUUCUGGCUGUUAUCGCUAUCCGAUUGUACUCUUGGCUAUCAUCUUCACAGGGUAUGCAAUCGGUCUUGCCACGAUCUGCUUCCUCGUUCGAGUGUUUGCGUCAUCUAUCGGUUCCGGGAAACUUCCGUUUCUGCCUCUUCCGCUUUUUCCUCCUUUGCUGGUCGGCGACAUCACCGGACCGGAACUAAAGGCCUACAACGGGUCCGACCCGAAGAAGCCUCUGCUCGUGGCCAUCAAGGGUCAGAUCUAUGAUGUCUCGCAGGAAAGGAAGUUGUAUGGACCUGGUGGCCCUUAUGCUCUGUUUGCUGGAAAUGAUGCUAGCAGAGCUCUAGCAAAGAUGUCGUUUGACGAGAAAGAUCUAACUGGUAAUAUCUCUGGUCUAGGUCCAUCUGAACUUGAGGCAUUGCAGGACUGGGAACACAAGUUCAUGACCAAGUAUGUUAAGGUUGGGACCAUUAAGAAGACAUCACUGGUGACUGAUGAAUCAUCCACCAUUGAGUCAGCUGAGGCAGCCGGCAGAGACAGCCAGUCUGAGACUGCUGCAGCUGUUGGCGUUGCAGAAAUCACAUCUGGUGGUGAGGUUUAUAAAGAGUGAUCUUAACCAGGUGGAGCAGUUGUGGCAUCAACGCAAGUCGAGUUUGAUACACACUCGGGGAGAGAUUUGAUGUAGGACGAAGAAGAGGCAGCUAUGGCGGUGGGAGUUCUCUCAGAAGCUUUGGAGAGAGAAAUUGGGAAUUUUGAGAAAGGUGGGACAUCACACUGAUUUUAAAAGGGACACAAUUGUCUUUUUACACCUUUAGGACUAUUCAAUCGGGCACCCUUACUGGACACUUUAUCAUUAUCCUUUGGUUAUAGUACCUCAGAGGUACUGUAUGAGUUGUAGUUUGAUCACGAGAGUGAGUUCCGACAGGGUUUCCCAAGAGGGGGUCCCGCCUUUGACUCUUGCUGUUCAGAUAGGAGAAAUCUCUGAAGAGAAGCUCAAGGCCUACAAUGGUUCCAACCAUCAGAAGCCUCUGCUCAUGGCAAUCAAGGGGUCGGAUCUAUGAAGCAGGACAGGUACAGGAAUAGGGAAUGUUGUUUUGGCAUCUAGGAUUUUGUUAAUUUUGGUUUAGUCUUGUAUCUUGGAAUUCUUCAUCUUUUUUGAAGUUUUGAAGCUUCUGUGUACUAUAGUUGUAGAACUUGUUGUGUCUAUUUGGUCACUGUGUUUUAUUCUCUGCUUGAUUCCCUGUUGUUUACAUGCUAUCUGAUUUCUCUGAAAUAGCUGAAUUUUUCUGGAACUGAAGGGAUUUUACAGUUUGUUGGACCUUGGAGUGAAAAGAAUAGAAAAAAAGGUAAUGCUAGUUGGCAGAGAAAUUAAAUGAAAGAAAAGUAAUAAGGACAUAUCGGAAAAUUGGCCUUGGGACUCCCUCCCAAUCAGCAAUUGCCUGGAAAUGACAGAUCAGUGAGUCCCUCUUUCCUUGCCGAUGUGGUCUCUGUUCUGCCCAGUUACUGCUGUGGGAUCCUCUCCCUUUUCCUGUUUUAUUUACCUAGCAAAAAAAAAAAAAGGAAACAAGAAAAAAAAUAAAAGGAGAAUCCUAUCCUUUCCUUUUGUUCGAUAAUUGAAGUGGAGAAAAGAGAAGAAAGAGUGAACUAACCUUUCUUUGCGUUCAAAAGGUGCAAGAAGGAAUACAAAUGGAAAGAUAAAGGGUCCUGAGCUCCAACUUCUUUCAUUUCUUUGUUGGGGCUUUUUUUUUACAUGGAAAAAUAAAUUUUUAUGUCAGUUGGAAUAUGAAAAGAUCGUCUCGCCUUAAAUAGGUUUAUGAUGUGUUCCAGUGUUUCUAUAUUGAUAGGCUUGUGUUUUUUUUUUUAGUUGUUCAAUGUCUUGGUUUUUGUUGUGUUUCCAUAUUGUACUUAUUGGUUUCUCCAUGUUAACUAAGUGAUGGAAUACAACUAUAUCAAUUAUCUUCAUUCACCACCAUCUCAUGAAACUUCUUCAUAUGAAUAUGGUGUUGAAACUUCAUUUCAUUAUUACUCCGCCAGGGGAUGUUAUCCACUGCUGGUCCCAACCCCGGAUAAAGGAGGAGGGUUGCGUUAGGUAGAGGACAAUCAGUGUAAAACCUAGUCAGAUCCAAAUAUGAAUUCUAGACAAGCUAUAUGUUGGGGUGUAACCCACAUAGAAGUCUAGAAUUCAUGUAGCCGACCACACAUAAUGGGAUAAAUGCUGGAUAUGUUGUUGUUCAGUGUCUUGGUUUAGUGGAUUUCUAUUUUGUGUGUGUGUGUGUGUGUGUGUAGGUAACGACAUUUAUUGGAUAUCUAGUCGUGAGCACUGUUGUUAGAAUCUUACGAUUCGAAUCGAUUCAUAUAAAAAUCAAGUAGAUGAAGAUGAUUGAUAAUUAGUGAACAUUAUGGACAAUGGAGUUUAUUAGUAACCUUAUAGUUGUAGGUUUUUUUUUUUUUUCUAGCUUGUUAUUUUGAAAGUAGUUUGGUUUGGUGCAAUUUGAAUUUAAAGGCAACAUGAAUAUACUUUUGCCUUUUGGUAUAAUUCUAAACUUAACAAAUAUAUUUAGAAGUUUAUUUAUCUAUUUAUAUUUAAAAGAAUUAAUCAUGGUGGGAACAUUAUUUAUUUUCUAUGGAUAUAUAUUAUUUAUAGUUGAAAUUGAGAAUGUGUACCGAAUCUUACGAUUUGAUUCUCGAUUCAUGAUUCAUAAAAUAAAGAUUUCGAUUCUCGAUUCGAAUCUCGAUUUAACAACUAUGGUCAUGAGCAUAUUUCUUUGUACUUACGGUUUUGCCUUGUGAAUUUUAUGUGUUUGAGCUAAAGAUGUAUGGCAGUGUUUGAUUGUUUGUGAAGGUUGUAUGUAAUAUCUGUGAAUUAGUUGGUGGGUUGUAUGUACGUGAUGUAACUGGUUCUAGGGCUCACAUAUAAGUGUAACUGUGUUGUUACUCAUCCAUUGAUUCAUUAUCUGUAUUCCUUGCUUGAUAUCUUCUUGUCGAUGCAUCUCUUGCUCUUUUUAGGUUUACAGAUCCAAGGGUUUUUUUCAGUCCGCUAGAGAACUUGUCCAGACAAGAAAUAGUAGAGAAUGGAGAAUGUUACCUUCCCUCGUGUUGGAUGCUGUCAUUUUUUUUUUUUUGGAAAUCGUAAAAGAGGAUAGGAUAGAACAUACAAGAGAAAAGAGUUUUUGUCAUGCAAGUAGGAAAGAAACCAUGUUCUGUAAACAAGCCAAAAGCUGGUGCUUGAAUAGGAGAGAAUUUUCUUUCCUUUAUUUUCUGCCAGCCCCCACCCCUCUGGGCUGCAGUCUCGGGGGGUUGGAUGGAAGGUUGGGUAUCAAGUUGUCCUUGUCCAUCUAGAAUCAAAUUCACGCUUUUUUUUUUUUUUUUGUGUGUGUGUGUGUGUAAUUCUUUUAAGAGUUUUUUUUUUUGUGUGUGUGUAAUUCUUUAAGAGCUAGCUAUUGCUUUUGAUAGUAUCCUAAUGACAUCAACAUUGCUUAUUUUGCUAUCAGAAUAUUUUUUUGUCUUUACCAAAUUUUUGUAGUUUGGAUUGUAGCGUCCUGCGAAAUAGAAUUUAUAUAGGAUUCUCUUUAUUGUUGCCUUUUCUUUUGUUAGAAUUUAUUUCUAUGGAACACUUUGAAUUGUCUCCUUUUAUGUUGUUAUGGUUUAUAUAUAACUGUUCAAAAGUCAUUUUUGAACACAAAUUUUUAUUGACUAUUAUCACAUCAACAUGUAAUAUUGGAUUAACUGCUUGAGUUGUUAAGUAUUUAUGCACUGUUGUAUAGGAUAUAAAAUGGAGGUCAGGAAGAUUGUGAUCAGUCCCAUGGUAAGUUAUCUGUAUCGGUUUGUUGCAAGAUUUUAUUUUUUUAAGUGCUUUACAGAAGGUCAGGCCAUAGAUCGAAAUGUCUAGGAAGGUAGAAUUCGUGUAGUUGAUCCCAUAUAGUUGGAUAAAGACUUGAUAUGUUGUUGAAUUGGAGAACAUACAAAAUAAGUCUUCUAAUGUUCUGAGAAUGAAUGCUCUUGGUUUUUGAAACCUAAAAUGUUAGGGCCUCUUUAGUUGUAAAAUUGGAGUUAAAAUUAGAAAAUGUUCUCUACAACUAAAUACAUGAUUAUCCUUUCCACCCCUCUCGCAGAGUUGGGAACUGGGGAAAUGAAUUUAUUAUGAAGAUGUGAAGAAUUCAUGAACCUUUGGUGCUUUGUUAGCAAAGUUGUUUUAUGUGCACGUUUAUUUUCUUAGUCUAGUACGUUUCUGCUGCAAAAUAUUUUGAGUUUGGGGAGAGUGUUAGGGGUUAACUUUGAUAUCCUUGUUAGGAUCCGACAGUCAUCUUGACAGGUUUUCUCUGGGUAUAACCAUGUUUCAAGUUCUUGUGCCAGUUUCCGGUCCAUUGUCUGAUCUGAUCUGAGAAGGUCUUGCUUUUACCUAUUUUGGUUGGAGAAAUUACUGAAGAGGAACUGAAGUCCUACGGCUGUUCCAGCCCUGAGAAGCCUCUACUAAUGUCAAUCAAGGGUCAUAUAUGAUGUCUUGUAGGGAAGGUGAUAUUGGAUUGACUGCUUGAUUGGAAUGUUGUAUGGAUCUGGUGGCCCUUAUGCCCUAUUUGCUGAAAAGGAUGCUACCAGAGCUCCAGCCAAGAUGUCGUUUGACAAGAACUGACCGGCAAUAUCCCUGGUCUAGGUCCAUCUGAACUUGAGGCGUUGCAGGACUGGGAAUACAAGUUCAUGAGCAAGUAUGGGAAGGUUGGAACAUUUAAGAAGACAUCACCGUCAACUGAUGGAUCAGCUACCAAGCCUACCAUCAAGUAGGCUGAGGCAGCCUAUCACAAUGUUGAUCAUAAGCUCGCCCAUCUGAGAAGUCAUCUUAAGCAGGUGGGAACUGAGAAGUCACGAUGUUGUUGCAUAUUCCUGCUGUAGAUGUUAAGUUGGGGGAAAAUUUUUAGUAAUGCAAAGAGCAAGUUAAAUAGAACGCCAAACAAAUCUGCUUCUCAUAUGAGGUAUAUUGACCAGUAGAUUUUCUGCCUUGUUUUGUGAUGAACAAAACCAGCAUAAAGAAAGAAAGGCUUCGCUUCCGUUGGGGGAAAAUAUGGGCCGGUGACAUUUGGAAUGCGUCUAUUACCCCUAAGCAUGCCUUUAUGCUGUGGCUUAGUGUUAAAUCCAAGCUGUUAACGAAGGAUAAUCUGCAAUUUUUAGACAUCAACAAAAGCUGCGAUCUUUGUGGUUCC